CGGUUAAGUUAGAAAGGGCGCACGGUGGAUGCCUUGGCACUAGGAGCCGAUGAAGGACGGGACGAACACCGAUAUGCUUCGGGGAGCUGUAAGCAAGCUUUGAUCCGGAGAUUUCCGAAUGGGGAAACCCACCACUCGUAAUGGAGUGGUAUCCAUAUAUGAAUACAUAGGAUAUGAGAAGGCAGACCCGGGGAACUGAAACAUCUAAGUACCCGGAGGAAGAGAAAGCAAAUGCGAUUCCCUGAGUAGCGGCGAGCGAAACGGGACCAGCCCAAACCAAGAGGCUUGCCUCUUGGGGUUGUAGGACACUCUGUACGGAGUUACAAAGGAACGAGGUAGAUGAAGAGGUCUGGAAAGGCCCGCCAUAGAAGGUAACAGCCCUGUAGUCAAAACUUCGUUCUCUCCUGAGUGGAUCCUGAGUACGGCGGAACACGUGAAAUUCCGUCGGAAUCCGGGAGGACCAUCUCCCAAGGCUAAAUACUCCCUAGUGACCGAUAGUGAACCAGUACCGUGAGGGAAAGGUGAAAAGCACCCCGGAAGGGGAGUGAAAGAGAUCCUGAAACCGUGUGCCUACAAGUAGUCAGAGCCCGUUAACGGGUGAUGGCGUGCCUUUUGUAGAAUGAACCGGCGAGUUACGAUCCCGUGCAAGGUUAAGCAGAAGAUGCGGAGCCGCAGCGAAAGCGAGUCUGAAUAGGGCGAAUUGAGUACGUGGUCGUAGACCCGAAACCAGGUGAUCUACCCAUGUCCAGGGUGAAGUUCAGGUAACACUGAAUGGAGGCCCGAACCCACGCACGUUGAAAAGUGCGGGGAUGAGGUGUGGGUAGGGGUGAAAUGCCAAUCGAACCUGGAGAUAGCUGGUUCUCUCCGAAAUAGCUUUAGGGCUAGCCUCAAGGUAAGAGUCUCGGAGGUAGAGCACUGAUUGGACUAGGGGCCCCUACCGGGUUACCGAAUUCAGUCAAACUCCGAAUGCCGAUGACUUAUCCUUGGGAGUCAGACUGCGAGUGAUAAGAUCCGUAGUCGAAAGGGAAACAGCCCAGACCGCCAGCUAAGGUCCCAAAGUAUACGUUAAGUGGAAAAGGAUGUGGAGUUGCUUAGACAACCAGGAUGUUGGCUUAGAAGCAGCCACCAUUUAAAGAGUGCGUAAUAGCUCACUGGUCGAGUGACUCUGCGCCGAAAAUGUACCGGGGCUAAACGUAUCACCGAAGCUGCGGACUGUUCUUCGAACAGUGGUAGGAGAGCGUUCUAAGGGCUGUGAAGCAAGACCGGAAGGACUUGUGGAGCGCUUAGAAGUGAGAAUGCCGGUAUGAGUAGCGAAAGAGGGGUGAGAAUCCCCUCCACCGAAUGCCUAAGGUUUCCUGAGGAAGGCUCGUCCGCUCAGGGUUAGUCGGGACCUAAGCCGAGGCCGAAAGGCGUAGGCGAUGGAUAACAGGUUGAUAUUCCUGUACCACCUCCUCACCAUUUGAGCAAUGGGGGGACGCAGGAGGAUAGGGUAAGCGCGGUAUUGGAUAUCCGCGUCCAAGCAGUUAGGCUGGGAAAUAGGCAAAUCCGUUUCCCGUGAAGGCUGAGCUGUGAUGGCGAGCGAAUUAUAGUAGCGAAGUUCCUGAUUCCACACUGCCAAGAAAAGCCUCUAGCGAGGUGAGAGGUGCCCGUACCGCAAACCGACACAGGUAGGCGAGGAGAGAAUCCUAAGGUGAUCGAGAGAACUCUCGUUAAGGAACUCGGCAAAAUGACCCCGUAACUUCGGGAGAAGGGGUGCUCUGUUAGGGUGCAAGCCCGAGAGAGCCGCAGUGAAUAGGCCCAGGCGACUGUUUAGCAAAAACACAGGUCUCUGCGAAGCCGUAAGGCGAAGUAUAGGGGCUGACGCCUGCCCGGUGCUGGAAGGUUAAGAGGAGCGCUUAGCGUAAGCGAAGGUGCGAAUUGAAGCCCCAGUAAACGGCGGCCGUAACUAUAACGGUCCUAAGGUAGCGAAAUUCCUUGUCGGGUAAGUUCCGACCCGCACGAAAGGCGCAACGAUCUGGGCACUGUCUCAACGAGAGACUCGGUGAAAUUAUAGUACCUGUGAAGAUGCAGGUUACCCGCGACAGGACGGAAAGACCCCGUGGAGCUUUACUGCAGCCUGAUAUUGAAUGUUGGUACAGCUUGUACAGGAUAGGUAGGAGCCUUGGAAACCGGAGCGCCAGCUUCGGUGGAGGCAUCGGUGGGAUACUACCCUGGCUGUAUUGACCUUCUAACCCGCCGCCCUUAUCGGGCGGGGAGACAGUGUCAGGUGGGCAGUUUGACUGGGGCGGUCGCCUCCUAAAAGGUAACGGAGGCGCCCAAAGGUUCCCUCAGAAUGGUUGGAAAUCAUUCGCAGAGUGUAAAGGCACAAGGGAGCUUGACUGCGAGACCUACAAGUCGAGCAGGGACGAAAGUCGGGCUUAGUGAUCCGGUGGUUCCGCAUGGAAGGGCCAUCGCUCAACGGAUAAAAGCUACCCCGGGGAUAACAGGCUUAUCUCCCCCAAGAGUCCACAUCGACGGGGAGGUUUGGCACCUCGAUGUCGGCUCAUCGCAUCCUGGGGCUGUAGUCGGUCCCAAGGGUUGGGCUGUUCGCCCAUUAAAGCGGUACGCGAGCUGGGUUCAGAACGUCGUGAGACAGUUCGGUCCCUAUCCGUCGCGGGCGCAGGAAAUUUGAGAGGAGCUGUCCUUAGUACGAGAGGACCGGGAUGGACGCACCGCUGGUGUACCAGUUGUUCUGCCAAGGGCAUCGCUGGGUAGCUAUGUGCGGACGGGAUAAGUGCUGAAAGCAUCUAAGCAUGAAGCCCCCCUCAAGAUGAGAUUUCCCAUUCCGCAAGGAAGUAAGAUCCCUGAAAGAUGAUCAGGUUGAUAGGUCUGAGGUGGAAGUGUGGCGACACAUGGAGCUGACAGAUACUAAUCGAUCGAGGACUUAACCAAUUU
rnacentral:rRNA from 1 species